rnacentral:rRNA from 1 species
GAUGAACGCUAGCGGCGGGCCUAAUACAUGCAAGUCGAACGGUGGUAGCAAUACCAUAGUGGCGCACGGGUGCGUAACACGUAACUAACCUACCCAGCACUGGGGGAUAGCCCGCCGAAAGGCGGAUUAAUACCGCAUAAGAUAGCAGAGGGGCAUCCCUUAGUUAUUAAAGAUUUAUUGGUGUUGGAUGGGGUUGCGGUCAUUAGCUAGUUGGUUGGGUAACGCUGACCAAGGCGACGAUGACUAGGGGANCUGAGAGGCUGGUCCCCCANACGGGCACUGAGAUACGGGCCCGACUCCUACGGGAGGCAGCGAGUAAGGGAUAUUGGGGCAAUGGGCGAGAGCCUGACCCAGCCAUGCCGCGUAGAAGGAUGAAGGUCCUCUGGA